rfam:Enterococcus sp. 6C8_DIV0013 scaffold00001, whole genome shotgun sequence.
AGAGUGUUAUGAUGUUGGAAAAUUUAUUUUUUCCGAGUCUAGCUCGGUGCUAAUCCUCUGACUUUUAGUCGGAGGA